rnacentral:rRNA from 1 species
CGGCGGACGGGUGAGUAACGCGUGAGCAAUCUGCCCUACACAGGGGAAUAGCCACUGGAAACGGUGAUUAAUACCCCAUAAGACCCCAGUGCCGCAUGGUACAGAGGUCAAAGCUGAGGCGGUGUAGGAUGAGCUCGCGUCUGAUUAGCUAGUUGGUGAGGUAAUGGCUCACCAAGGCGACGAUCAGUAGCCGGCCUGAGAGGGUGAACGGCCACACUGGAACUGAGACACGGUCCAGACUCCUACGGGAGGCAGCAGUGGGGAAUAUUGCACAAUGGGCGAAAGCCUGAUGCAGCAACGCCGCGUGAAUGAUGAAGGCCUUCGGGUCGUAAAGUUCUGUCCUAGGGGAAGAAUAAAAUGACGGUACCCUGGGAGGAAGCCCCGGCUAACUACGUGCCAGCAGCCGCGGUAAUACGUAGGGGGCAAGCGUUAUCCGGAAUUACUGGGCGUAAAGGGAGCGUAGGCGGUUUGACAAGCCAGUGGUGAAAGGCAAUAGCUUAACUAUUGUAAGCCAUUGGAACUGUUGAACUUGAGUGCAGGAGAGGUAAGUGGAAUUCCUAGUGUAGCGGUGAAAUGCGUAGAUAUUAGGAGGAACACCAGUGGCGAAGGCGACUUACUGGACUGUAACUGACGCUGAGGCUCGAAAGCGUGGGGAGCAAACAGGAUUAGAUACCCUGGUAGUCCACGCUGUAAACGAUGAAUACUAGGUGUCACGGGUCAAACCUUGGUGCCGCAGCUAACGCAUUAAGUAUUCCGCCUGGGGAGUACGCACGCAAGUGUGAAACUCAAGGAAUUGACGGGGACCCGCACAAGCAGCGGAGCAUGUGGUUUAAUUCG